CCUACGGGCGGCUGCAGUGGGGGAUAUUGGACAAUGGGGGGAACCCUGAUCCAGCCAUGCCGCGUGUGUGAAGAAGGCCCUCGGGUUGUAAAGCACUUUCAGUGAGGAAGAACGCCUGGUGGUUAAUACCCAUCAGGAAAAACAUCACUCACAGAAGAAGCACCGGCUAACUCCGUGCCAGCAGCCGCGGUAAUACGGAGGGUGCGAGCGUUAAUCGGAAUUACUGGGCGUAAAGCGCGCGUAGGUGGCUUGAUAAGCCGGUUGUGAAAGCCCCGGGCUCAACCUGGGAACGGCAUCCGGAACUGUCAAGCUAGAGUGCAGGAGAGGAAGGUAGAAUUCCCGGUGUAGCGGUGAAAUGCGUAGAGAUCGGGAGGAAUACCAGUGGCGAAGGCGGCCUUCUGGACUGACACUGACACUGAGGUGCGAAAGCGUGGGUAGCAAACAGGAUUAGAUACCCCAGUAGUC
rnacentral:rRNA from 1 species